GAUGAACGCUAGCGGCAGGCUUAACACAUGCAAGUCGAGGGGUAUAGGUUUUCGGAUCUAGAGACCGGCGCACGGGUGCGUAACGCGUAUGCAAUCUACCUUUUACAGAGGGAUAGCCCAGAGAAAUUUGGAUUAAUACCUCAUAGUAUUACGACUCGGCAUCGAGAUGUAAUUAAAGUCACAACGGUAAAAGAUGAGCAUGCGUCCCAUUAGCUUGUUGGUAAGGUAACGGCUUACCAAGGCAACGAUGGGUAGGGGUCCUGAGAGGGAGAUCCCCCACACUGGUACUGAGACACGGACCAGACACCUACGGGUGGCUG
rnacentral:rRNA from 1 species